rnacentral:rRNA from 1 species
GUUGUAUGGUUAAGUGACUAAGCGUACACGGUGGAUGCCUUGGCAGUCAGAGGCGAUGAAAGACGUAGUAACUUGCGAUAAGCCCAGAUUAGGUAGUAACAACCAUUUGAGUCUGGGAUUUCUGAAUGGGGAAACCCACGUGCAUAAGCACGUAUCCUUACCUGAAUACAUAGGGUAAGGAGGCGAACCGGGGGAACUGAAACAUCUAAGUACCCCGAGGAAAAGAAAUCAACCGAGAUUCCGAAAGUAGCGGCGAGCGAAAUUGGACUAGCCCUUAAGCUUUACACGCGUUAGACGAACGGUCUGGAAAGUCCGACGAUACAGGGUGAUAGUCCCGUAGUUGACGACGUGUGUUCAGUGAAAUCGAGUAGGGCGGGACACGUGAUAUCCUGUCUGAAUAUGGGGGGACCAUCCUCCAAGGCUAAAUACUACUGACUGACCGAUAGUGAACCAGUACCGUGAGGGAAAGGCGAAAAGAACCCCUGUGAGGGGAGUGAAAUAGAACCUGAAACCGUGUACGUACAAGCAGUAGGAGCAGGCUUUGUCCUGUGACUGCGUACCUUUUGUAUAAUGGGUCAGCGACUUAUAUUCAGUGGCAAGGUUAACCAUCUAGGGGAGCCGUAGGGAAACCGAGUCUUAACUGGGCGUUCAGUCUCUGGAUAUAGACCCGAAACCAGGUGAUCUAGCCAUGGGCAGGUUGAAGGUUGAGUAACAUCAACUGGAGGACCGAACCGACUAAUGUUGAAAAAUUAGCGGAUGACUUGUGGCUAGGGGUGAAAGGCCAAUCAAACCUGGAGAUAGCUGGUUCUCCCCGAAAGCUAUUUAGGUAGCGCCUCGGACGAAUACUACUGGGGGUAGAGCACUGUUAAGGCUAGGGGGUCAUCCCGACUUACCAACCCUUUGCAAACUCCGAAUACCAGUAAGUACUAUCCGGGAGACACACGGCGGGUGCUAACGUCCGUCGUGGAGAGGGAAACAACCCAGACCGCCAGCUAAGGUCCCAAAUUACUACUAAGUGGGAAACGAUGUGGGAAGGCUCAGACAGCCAGGAUGUUGGCUUAGAAGCAGCCAUCAUUUAAAGAAAGCGUAAUAGCUCACUGGUCGAGUCGGCCUGCGCGGAAGAUGUAACGGGGCUAAGUAGUAAACCGAAGCUGCGGCAAUGUGCUUUUGCACAUUGGGUAGGGGAGCGUUCUGUAAGCGGUUGAAGGUGUGUGGUAACGCAUGCUGGACGUAUCAGAAGUGCGAAUGCUGACAUGAGUAACGAUAAAGGGGGUGAAAAACCUCCUCGCCGGAAGACCAAGGGUUCCUGUCCAACGUUAAUCGGGGCAGGGUAAGUCGACCCCUAAGGCGAGGCCGAAAGGCGUAGUCGAUGGGAAACGGGUUAAUAUUCCCGUACUUCUUACAAUUGCGAUGGGGGGACGGAGAAGGCUAGGUGGGCCUGGCGACGGUUGUCCAGGUUCAAGUGCGUAGGCUUAAGAGUUAGGUAAAUCCGGCUCUUUUUAAGGCUGAGACACGACGUCGAGCACCUACGGGUGUGAAGUCAUUGAUGCCAUGCUUCCAGGAAAAGCCUCUAAGCUUCAGAUUGUAAGGAAUCGUACCCCAAACCGACACAGGUGGUCGGGUAGAGAAUACCAAGGCGCUUGAGAGAACUCGGGUGAAGGAACUAGGCAAAAUGGUACCGUAACUUCGGGAGAAGGUACGCUCUCGACGGUGAAGUCCCUCGCGGAUGGAGCUAUUGAGAGUCGCAGAUACCAGGUGGCUGCAACUGUUUAUUAAAAACACAGCACUGUGCAAAAUCGUAAGAUGACGUAUACGGUGUGACGCCUGCCCGGUGCCGGAAGGUUAAUUGAUGGGGUUAGACUUCGGUCGAAGCUCUUGAUCGAAGCCCCGGUAAACGGCGGCCGUAACUAUAACGGUCCUAAGGUAGCGAAAUUCCUUGUCGGGUAAGUUCCGACCUGCACGAAUGGCGUAAUGAUGGCCACGCUGUCUCCACCCGAGACUCAGUGAAAUUGAAAUCGCUGUGAAGAUGCAGUGUACCCGCGGCUAGACGGAAAGACCCCGUGAACCUUUACUACAGCUUGGCACUGAACAUUGACCCUACAUGUGUAGGAUAGGUGGGAGGCUUUGAAGCAGGUACGCCAGUAUCUGUGGAGCCGUCCUUGAAAUACCACCCUUGUAGUGUUGAUGUUCUAACGUCGACCCCUUAUCGGGGUUGCGGACAGUGCCUGGUGGGUAGUUUGACUGGGGCGGUCUCCUCCCAAAGAGUAACGGAGGAGCACGAAGGUGGGCUAAUCACGGUUGGACAUCGUGAGGUUAGUGCAAUGGCAUAAGCCCGCUUGACUGCGAGAAUGACAAUUCGAGCAGGUGCGAAAGCAGGUCAUAGUGAUCCGGUGGUUCUGAAUGGAAGGGCCAUCGCUCAACGGAUAAAAGGUACUCCGGGGAUAACAGGCUGAUACCGCCCAAGAGUUCAUAUCGACGGCGGUGUUUGGCACCUCGAUGUCGGCUCAUCACAUCCUGGGGCUGAAGUCGGUCCCAAGGGUAUGGCUGUUCGCCAUUUAAAGUGGUACGCGAGCUGGGUUUAGAACGUCGUGAGACAGUUCGGUCCCUAUCUGCCGUGGGCGUUGGAAGAUUGAAGGGGGCUGCUCCUAGUACGAGAGGACCGGAGUGGACGAACCUCUGGUGUUCGGGUUGUGUCGCCAGACGCAUUGCCCGGUAGCUAAGUUCGGAAUCGAUAACCGCUGAAAGCAUCUAAGCGGGAAGCGAGCCCUGAGAUGAGUCUUCCCUGAUACUUUAAGUAUCCUAAAGGGUUGUCGGAGACUACGACGUUGAUAGGUCAGGUGUGUAAGUGCUGUGAGGCAUUGAGCUAACUGAUACUAAUUGCCCGUGAGGCUUAACCAUACAACACCCAAGGGGUUU